UACGUAGGGUGCAAGCGUUGCCCGGAUUUAUUGGGCGUAAAGGGCGCGUAGGCGGCUCUGCACGUCCGUUGUGAAAUCGCCCGGCUCAACUGGGCGGGGUCAGCGGAUACGGCAGAGCUUGAGCAAGCUAGGGGGCAAUGGAAUUCCCGGUGUAGUGGUGGAAUGCGUAGAUAUCGGGAGGAACACCAGUGGCGAAGACGGUUGCCUGGGGCUUUGCUGACGCUGAUGCGCGAAAGCGUGGGGAGCGAUCCGG
rnacentral:rRNA from 1 species